rnacentral:tRNA from 1 species
CCUGUAGCUCAGUCGGUAGAGCAAAGGACUGAAAAUCCUUGUGUCGGCAGUUCGAUUCUGCCUGG